UACGUAGGGGGCAAGCGUUGUCCGGAAUCAUUGGGCGUAAAGAGCGUGUAGGCGGCCCGGUAAGUCCGCUGUGAAAGUCCAGGGCUCAACCCUGGAAUGCCGGUGGAAACUGCCGGGCUGGAGUCCGGAAGAGGCGAGUGGAAUUCCUGGUGUAGCGGUGAAAUGCGCAGAUAUCAGGAGGAACACCAAUUGCGAAGGCAGCUCGCUGGGACGUAACUGACGCUGAGACGCGAAAGCGUGGGGAGCAAACAGG
rnacentral:rRNA from 1 species